rnacentral:rRNA from 1 species
GAUGAACGCUGGCGGCGUGCCUAAUACAUGCAAGUCGAACGGUCCGCAAGGAUAGUGGCGAACGGGUGAGUAACGCGUUGGUGACCUGCCCUGAAGAGGGGGAUAACGGAUCGAAAGAUCCGCUAAUACCGCAUAAGCUCUCACUAGUUAGAGAGGUGAGAGGAAAGCCGAAAGGCGCUUUAGGAGGGACCUGCGCCCCAUCAGCUAGUUGGUAAGGUAGUGGCUUACCAAGGCGAUGACGGGUAGGGGACCUGAGAGGGUGGCCCCCCACAAUGGAACUGAAACACGGUCCAUACACCUACGGGUGGCAGCAGUAGGGAAUAUUGGUUAAUGGGCGAAAGCCUGACCCAGCAACGCCGCGUGAACGAUGAAGGCCUUCGGGUUGUAAAGUUCUUUUUUACAGGGAUGAGGAAGGACAGUACCUGUAGAAUAAGUCUCGGCUAACUACGUGCCAGCAGCCGCGGUAA